CAGCAGUAGCCGCGGUAAUACGGAGGGUGCAAGCGUUAAUCGGAAUUACUGGGCGUAAAGCGCACGCAGGCGGUCUGACAAGUCAGAUGUGAAAUCCCCGGGCUUAACCUGGGAACUGCAUUUGAAACUGUCAGGCUGGAGUCUUGUAGAGGGGGGUAGAAUUCCAGGUGUAGCGGUGAAAUGCGUAGAGAUCUGGAGGAAUACCGGUGGCGAAGGCGGCCCCCUGGACAAAGACUGACGCUCAGGUGCGAAAGCGUGGGGAGCAAACAGGAUUAGAUACCCGCGUAGUCCCUGUCUCUUAUAU
rnacentral:rRNA from 1 species